GGAGAAGGAGAAAAAAUAGAGUUGCUUCUGAAUAAAGCCUUAGUUAUACCUGCAUAAUAUUUCUUGCCAUUCACAACGGAAGCAGCUAUAAAACAUGUGACAGUGAGAUUUUGAACCAGCUAUGCAUGUGAGCCUGUAAAGCUUGUGAAAGUUCCUGCAUCUUCCUUUCCUUGCAUUACUGGGCCUACAUUCUUGAACUGCUGCAUUCUGCUAUUGCUGCUGCUGAUUGUUUCUCCAGCUUCCUGAGCUGCACAACUGCUGAAGGACAAUCACCAUCUGAACUGCUGAGAGGACUCAAAACUACAACCAAACUUACCCAAUGGCAGCUACUGAUAGGACUUUCCGUCCAUCUCAUACUGAGGAUGCAGAGAUUCAUAAUCAGGUGGAUUUCAAAGUCUUCGCAGUGAAGCGAGGGAUUGUGGCAGCACUUCAAGGAACAAGGUUUGCAAUUAACUGUUGCCUGCAGAUGGGAGGAAUGCCCCGGCUUUGUUGCCAAAGGCUUUUCCUUUCGCUCCGGUGAUGGCCUAAUCAAAACAGAGACCAUGCUCACCCAGCGUCUGCCACCCUGUACUCACACUGUGAAACGAGAAGAUUUCUUCAUUACUCCACUUGCCCAAGUCCUUGCUGUUACAUGUAGGUUUUAAAAAUAAAUAAAU